rnacentral:rRNA from 1 species
UACGGAGGGGGCUAGCGUUGUUCGGAAUUACUGGGCGUAAAGCGCACGUAGGCGGCUUCGCUAGUUGGGCGUGAAAUGCCUGGGCUUAACCCAGGAAUUGCGCCCAAUACUUCGAGGCUCGAGUGUGGGAGAGGAUAGUGGAAUUCCCAGUGUAGAGGUGAAAUUCGUAGAUAUUGGGAAGAACACCAGCGGCGAAGGCGGCUAUCUGGACCACAACUGACGCUGAGGCGCGAAAGCGUGGGGAGCAAACAGG